rnacentral:tRNA from 1 species
GGAGAGGUGGCUGAGUUGGUCUAAGGCGCUCGCCUGGAGAGCGAGUAGGCAGAUGACCUCUGCCUCGUGGGUUCGAAUCCCACCCCCUCCGCCA